GUGCCAGCAGCCGCGGUAAUACGUAGGGUGCGAGCGUUAAUCGGAAUUACUGGGCGUAAAGCGUGCGCAGGCGGUUUUGCAAGUCAGAUGUGAAAUCCCCGGGCUCAACCUGGGAACUGCGUUUGAAACUGCAAGGCUAGAGUAUGGCAGAGGGGGGUAGAAUUCCACGUGUAGCAGUGAAAUGCGUAGAGAUGUGGAGGAAUACCGAUGGCGAAGGCAGCCCCCUGGGUCAAUACUGACGCUCAUGCACGAAAGCGUGGGGAGCAAACAGGAUUAGAUACCCUGGUAGUCC
rnacentral:rRNA from 1 species